GGUGAAGGUCAUGGACAGUGUAAUUGCGGAAGAUGUGACUGCAAAGCAGGCUGGUACGGGAAGAAGUGUGAGCACCCACAGUCCUGCACACUGUCAGCUGAGGAGAGCAUCAGGAAGUGCCAGGGAAGCUCUGAUCUGCCUUGCUCUGGGAGGGGUAAAUGUGAAUGUGGCAAAUGCACCUGUUACCCUCCAGGAGAUCGCCGGGUGUAUGGCAAGACUUGUGAGUGUGAUGAUCGCCGCUGUGAAGACCUCGAUGGUGUGGUCUGUGGAGGUAGUAACCUUUCUCAUAGCUGUAUGCUACCUGCAUGCCACUUGCUUUACCUGCCUUUCUUAUUCUACUGACUCUUGCUUUUUCAAUUGCUGUUAAAAAUAAGAUAAACAGAAAGCAAUAUACCAUUGAACCUAAAAGCAAUAUACAAUUAGGUUUGUAAUGACCUUUAUUUCCCUGAACUCUUUAUUUAGCAGGUAUGUGAAAGUACACAGUACACUAUCAAUAAAAGAUCAUUGAAUCUAA
rnacentral:sRNA from 1 species